GGUAUGGUGGUGCAGGGGGCAGCACUGUCACCUCACAGCAAGAUGGUCCUGGGUUCGAAUCCUAGCCUGGGCC
rnacentral:tRNA from 1 species